GACGAACGCUGGCGGCGUGCCUAAUACAUGCAAGUCGAACGCAGUGGGGACGGGUGAGUAAAACGUGGGUAACCUCCCAUCAGAGGGGAUAACACUUGGAAACAGGUGCUAAACCGCUACGGUUGGCUGGACCCGCGGUGCAUAAGCUGGUUGGGGAGGUCACGGCCCACCAAGGCCACGAUGCAUAGCGGACCUGCGAGGGUGAUCGGCCAAACUGGGACUGAGACACGGCCCAGAAGCCUACGGGAGGCAGCAGUGGGGAAUGUUGGGCAAUGGACGAAAGUCUGACCGAGCAACGCCGCGUGAGUGAAGAAGGUUUUCGGAUCGUAAAACACUGUUGUGAGGGAAGCGGUAUCUAACCAGAAAGCCACGGCUAACUACGUGCCAGCCGCAGCGGUAAUAC
rnacentral:rRNA from 1 species